GGAGGAUCCGAGCGUUAUCCGGAUUUAUUGGGUUUAAAGGGUGCGUAGGCGGACUAGUAAGUCAGCUGUGAAAGUUAGUGGCUCAACCACUAAAUUGCAGUUGAAACUGUUGGUCUUGAGUAUACAUGAGGUGAGCGGAAUUUGUGGUGUAGCGGUGAAAUGCAUAGAUAUCACAAGGAACUCCAAUUGCGAAGGCAGCUCACUGGGGUAUAACUGACGCUGAGGCACGAAAGUGCGGGUAUCAAACAGGAUUAGAUACCCUGGUAGUCCGCACAGUAAACGAUGAAUACUCGCUGUUUGCGAUAUACAGUAAGCGGCCAAGCGAAAGCAUUAAGUAUUCCACCUGGGGAGUACGCCCGCAACGGUG
rnacentral:rRNA from 1 species